AUUGAACGCUGGCGGCAUGCUUUAUACAUGCAAGUCGAACGGUAACAGGCCGCAAGGUGUUGCCGCGUGGGGCACGGGUGAGUAAUGUAUCGGAACGCGCCCCGACGAGGGGGAUAUAGACCCGCAAGAGCAGCUAAUAUCGCAUACGAGCUAUGGAUGUAAACGGGGGACCGUAAAACCUCGCGCGCUUUUAGCGGCCGAUGUCUGAUUAGGUAGUUGGUGGGGUAAAGGCUCACCAAGCCAACGAUCUGUAGCUGGUCUGAGAGGACGACCAGCCACACUGGGACUGAGACACGGCCCAGACUCCUACGGGAGGCAGCAGUGGGGAAUUUUGGACAAUGGGCGCAAGCCUGAUCCAGCAAUGCCGCGUGCAGGAAGAAGGCCUUCGGGUUGUAAACUGCUUUUGUACGGGACGAAACGGUUCUGGUUAAUACCCGGGGCUAAUGACGGUACCGGAAGAAUAAGCACCGGCUAACUACGUG
rnacentral:rRNA from 1 species